rnacentral:rRNA from 1 species
CAGUAGCCGCGGGAAUACAGAGGGUGCGAGCGUUAAUCGGAUUUACUGGGCGUAAAGCGUGCGUAGGCGGCUAAUUGAGUCGGAUGUGAAAUCCCCGAGCUUAACUUGGGAAUUGCAUUCGAUACUGGUUAGCUAGAGUGUGGGAGAGGAUGGUAGAAUUCCAGGUGUAGCGGUGAAAUGCGUAGAGAUCUGGAGGAAUACCGAUGGCGAAGGCAGCCAUCUGGCCUAACACUGACGCUGAGGUACGAAAGCAUGGGGAGCAAACAGGAUUAGAUACUCGGGUAGUCCCUGUCUCUUAUAC